AAUAGUUUAAACAACGUUUUUAGAUUUCCAGAAAAUUACGUAGAAUGGAUAAUUCUACAAAAGAUUCAAUGACUGGACUAUCAGAUGAUGUUAGUUUAUUGCAAAGAAGUCAAAAGCCAAGUAGGAUCAAGUAAGAUGAUUAUAAAUAAAUUACAAAGUUUAUAUUAGGGUGUAUCAGGAACUUUUUUAUCAGAUAUUCUACUUCUUAUUCCUUAGAGCAGUGUCCUGUGAAUAACUAGCAGGGGUUCCAGGAAGCCCCGGAAAAAGUUAAUUAAAAUUCUACCACAGUUAACCAUUUAAUGAUAACAGUAAUGAAAAAAGCAGCAUUGGCAUGCCAUAUAUAUGCUGUGCUGCAAUGCAGUGAAUACCUAUUAAUGAUUUUUUCCUAGUUACCUAGUCAUACAUGCGCGUAUAAUAAUUUAUUACAUUUAUUUUAAUACUAUGACUACCAAUAUAAUUAAACAAAAUAGAUUAAAUUUCUUUUUAAAUACAAAAUAAUGUUUUUAUAUUUUAGGGAUCCUCAUAAAAAUGUAUUAUUAUUUGGGGUUCCUUAAUCCCAAAACAAUAUUUUGUUCAGACUUGAAAUGAUUUUUUAAGGUCUCAAGCAUUAUUUUCUAAAAAAAGAAGUAGAGUUGUUUUUGUAUUUAUAUAAGUAAUAAUUUUUAAAUUAUGAUCAUUGAAUUGAAAGUUAUCAGAAAAAGAAAAAAACUGAGGUACUGGGGGCAGGUAUGCCACUGUUAUGGGUGAGAAGGUAGGAUACAUACAUAUUUUUUUUAUAUCUGUAAGCAAUGAUAAACCAUUGCUACUGAAAAUGAUUCAAAGUCGAUUUCAAUUAUACAUGUUUUGUUGAAAGGCCAUAAUAUUUUCGUCAAAAUUUAAUAUUAAAAUUCUUAUUUAAAAAAAAAACAUUACAUUAAAAUUAUUUUUUUUUUUUUGACCACAAAGUACACCUUAUAAUAAAUCUGUUGAAUUUUGAUGUAUUUCUGAUUAAUCUAACAAUUUUAUCCACUGACAACCUACCAAAUAAUUGUUUAUAAACUCUCAAAAAUUAAAAUGUCUAUGAACAGCUCAAAAAUGGCUCAAAUUUAUUCGAAAAUUGUUCUAUUUCUAGAAAAAGUAUUUGUAAGUUUUCUGUCAAAAUUUUAAGUUUUUAUACAUUUUUAUUUGAAUAACAACAAAAUUUAAAAUAUUAAAGGUAUUAUUUUUGUAAAUCUUCCUGUUCUUUCUACAAUUUUUUUUUGGUUUUGCUUAAUUAUUAGAAAACCUAUAGGAGAAAAUUAAAAAACUACUUUUUUACUUACCAACUAAAUUAAAAAUACAGCAAAAAGGUCACUUGUUGUUUUUAAAAACACUAGUUAAAGGUGGUUUCAAGAAUUUAUUUAUCCAAAAAUUUACUUUCAAUGGCCUAAAUAUGUAGUAAAAUUUAGAAUAUUAAAUUUGGCAAAUAUGAUAAAUGUUCUUUUCUUCUGCUAAUUUUUGAUAUAUACCUUAAAACCUUUUACCUCAAAUAUUAUUAUUUAUAUUUAAAAAAAAACGCAUUUUUUCCUAAUUUGUUAAUGAUGAUAAAAUUCAUUCCUUGUUCAAAGUCUAAAAUUAGGGGACAUUAAGCUGUAUGGAACACAAUUUUAUGGAUUGAAGAAUAUCUAAUAAAAAAAAAAAAAAAAAUCCUGAAACACUAAUUUAUAUAUUUGUUUGUAUUUUCAAAACAACAUUUUGGUAUUUUAGGAUCAAAUUUACCAAAAAGGUAAAGACAACUUUAAAAUCAUUACCUUCUAAGACUGAUGAUCUUUCUACUGAAGAAACAACAAAUCUACUUAGAGAUGGAAAAAAAUGUUGGUAUAAAUUAAAAACUGUUGAAAAAAAGAAUUUUAUAAAUAUAAAGAAAUUAAUAUCUAUUAUACAAUUAGCUCUCAUGAUCAAUAACGAUGAUAUUUUUAUGUCUGAUAUAAUGAGGUAUAUUCUAAUAAUAUUAUUUUAAAAUUGUUUUUAUUAAAAUUUGUUUACUUUUAUUCAUUAACUUGCUAUAGAUGGAUUCAUGAAGGACAUUUGCAUGUAAAUCGUAUUGAUAUGUAUUUACCAGAAAAUGUAGUGCAUGGUAUUAAUAUUUGUAAAAUGGUUAAUAUUUCUUCAAGAAAAACAUUAAAUUUUGAAUUGGGCCAAAUAUUUGAUGUUUUCAAAAUUAACUAUUUACCUAAUAUUGAUUUCAAAAAAUUAGUAAUUCGUUUUUGCGAUGAACUUCAACUUCCAAGUAAUUAAUUGCUAGCUAAACUAUAAAAGUAUUUUGUAUUAACUUAAUUUUAAUUGAAAUCUAGGUGAUUUUACAAAUUUUGUUUGUAAACUCGUGUUAAUAUCUCCUCCAGAUUUAAAAUUAAUCCACUUAUUAAAUGAUAUUGAAAUAAAAGCAAUGUCUUACAUUCUUUUUGCUGCCAAAUUUCUAUUUACUCUUGACGGUAAUGCAGAAAAUUUAUCUUCAGAUUUUGCUGAAAAAGUCAACUUGUAAGUUAUUUUUAUUUUUUAAUUACACCAAUUUAUAGAUCAUUGGCUAUAAUAACAGUGUUUAUUACAUUUCUAUAUUUAUAAACAAAUCAUCUUAAUGUUGUAAACUAUAUUUGACUCUUAGGUUUUUUUACCCUUUGAAGCUUAUCUCCUUUCAUUCAAACAGUUUAGUAUAAUAGCAAUACAUUUCAUUAUCUUACUGUAUCCCUUAUUUAGAUUUAAAAACUUAACAAGUCUAUAUAUUUAGUUGUAGACCUUGAGAAAUUGUUUUCCUUGUAUUACCUCCCUAAAUAUUUGUGGUAAGUACUUUUUUUUUAAUGUUUUUUCCUAUAUGUCUCUUAAAGUUGCCUCACACUGGAUUAGAUCGGUUAGGAAACGUCACGUCGGAUUGGAAUGGAACCAAAUUGUUUGUCGACAAUAUUUUGACAGAUUUGCAUCCACACUGAUACAAAUAUACGUGCCAUCUUUUGGUUAUCAUCGUUUUGUAAUUAGUUGUAUGUAAAAAAUUGA
rnacentral:lncRNA from 1 species